CGGUGUAGCGGUGAAAUGCGUAGAUAUCGGGAGGAACUCCUGUGCGAAAGCGGCGCACUGGAUCACAACUGACGCUGAUGCGCGAAAGAUAGGGGAGCAAACAGGAUUAGAUAUCUUGGUAGUCCUAGCCCUAAACGAUGGAUGCUUGGUGUGUCGGGUACCCAAUCCCGACGUGCAGAAGCUAACGCGAUAAGCAUCCCGCGUGGGGAGUACGGUUGCAAGGCUGAAACUCAAAGCAAUUGACCGGGGCCCGCACAAGCGGUGGAGCAUGUGGUUCAAUUUGACGCAACGCGAAGAACCUUACCUGGGCUCGAAGCGCAGUGGACCGGGGUAGAAAUAUCCCUUUCCGCAAGGAGUGCUGCGGAGGUGAUGCAUGGCUGUCGUCAGCUCGUGUCGUGAGAUGUUGGGUUAAGUCCCGCAACGAGCGCAAUCCUUAUCCCUAGUUUCCAUCGGGUCAAGCCGGGCACUCUAGUGAAACCGCCCCGGAUAACGGGGAGGAAGGUGGGGAUGACUUCAAGUCCUCAUGGCCUUUAUGUCCAGGGCUACACACGUGCUACAAUGGUCGGUACAAACCGUCGCAAACCCGCGAGGGGGAGCUAAUCGGAAAAAGCCGACCUCAGUUCGGAUUGGAGUCUGCAACUUGACUCCAUGAAGCUGGAAUCGUUAGUAAUCGCAGAUCAGCACGCUGCGGUGAAUACGUUCCCGGGCCUUGUACACACCGCCCGUCACAUCACGAAAGUGAGCUGUACUAGAAGUCGGUGAGCUAACCGCAAGGAGGCAGCCGCCCAAGGUACGGCCCAUGAUUGGGGUGAAGUCGUAACAAGGUAACC
rnacentral:rRNA from 1 species